GAUAGGGCUUCAAAAUAUUCUAAGUAACACGAAUAUUAUUUUUUAAAUCAUUAAAUUCCAUUAUUCGAGGCACAUGCAGUUCAGAUAUCUUUUUUUAAAAAAUGCAAUUAAAUAAAAUAAAUUAAAAAAUAUAGCAAAAACAUCAAGAAACGUGUCAAAUUUGAACAUGCGCUCUAAAAUACUGCGUAAAUGUAGCAUAAAAAGUUUAGAGUAAAAAUAUUUUUGCAUUUUUAAAAGAUUUUUAAAAUAAAAGAAUUAGAGAAAAAAAAGAAAAAUCUUUGUCGAGGGCCUCUGAUCCAGCAGUCGGCAAAAAAAUAAAAAAAAUAAUCUUUACCCUAGUGUCCCUUAUACUCGACAAAGAUUUUUUUAGAAAAAAUUAAUCUUUGCUACAUGCUCCUCAUUUAGCACUUGGCAAAGAAAUAAAAAAAAUAUAUAAUCUUUGCUGAGCGUCGAAUCGUGGUCACUCGACAAAGACUCCACUUUUACAUAUAGGGUCUGUUUUGUUUUUUGGCCAACUCCU
rnacentral:lncRNA from 1 species